rnacentral:rRNA from 1 species
GAUGAACGCUGGCGGCGUGCUUAACACAUGCAAGUCGAACGAGAAAUGGAGACGGACACCUUCGGGCGGAAGGCUUCAUUUCGAGUGGCGGACGGGUGAGUAACGCGUGGGUAACCUGCCUCAUACAGGGGGAUAACAGUUGGAAACGACUGUUAAUACCGCAUAAGACCACAGCACCGCAUGGUGCGGGGGUAAAAACUCCGGUGGUAUGAGAUGGACCCGCGUUCGAUUAGCCAGUUGGCGGGGUAACGGCCCACCAAAGCGACGAUCGAUAGCCGAUCUGAGAGGAUGACCGGCCACAUUGGGACUGAGACACGGCCCAAACUCCUACGGGAGGCAGCAGUGGGGAAUAUUGCACAAUGGGGGAAACCCUGAUGCAGCGACGCCGCGUGAGUGAAGAAGUACUUCGGUAUGUAAAGCCCUAUCAGCAGGGAAGAAAAUGACGGUACCUGAGGAAGAAGCCCCGGCUAACUACGUG